rnacentral:rRNA from 1 species
CCUACGGGAGACAGCAGUGGGGAAUAUUGCACAAUGGGGGAAACCCUGAUGCAGCGACGCCGCGUGAGUGAAGAAGUAAUUCGUUAUGUAAAGCUCUAUCAGCAGGGAAGAAAAUGACGGUACCUGAGUAAGAAGCCCCGGCUAACGACGUGCCAGCAGCCGCGGUAAUACGUAGGGGGCAAGCGUUAACCGGAUUUACUGGGUGUAAAGGGAGCGUAGGCGGUAUGUCAAGUCAAGGGUGAAAUCCCCGGGCUCAACGUGGGAACUGCCUUUGAAACUGGCAAACUGGAGUGUGUGAGAGGAUAGUGGAAUUCCAGGUGUAGGGGUGAAAUCCGUAGAUAUCUGGAGGAACAUCAGUGGCGAAGGCGACUAUCUGGCACAUAACUGACGCUGAGGAGCGAAAGCGUGGGUAGCAAACAGGAUUAGAUACCCCGGUAGUC